rnacentral:rRNA from 1 species
GGGUUGUGAGGUUAAGCGACUAAGCGUACACGGUGGAUGCCCUGGCAGUCAGAGGCGAUGAAGGACGUGCUAAUCUGCGAAAAGCGUCGGUAAGGUGAUAUGAACCGUUACAGCCGGCGAUGUCCGAAUGGGGAAACCCAGUGCAAUUCGUUGCACUAUCGUUAACUGAAUACAUAGGUUAACGAGGCGAACCGGGGGAACUGAAACAUCUAAGUACCCCGAGGAAAAGAAAUCAACCGAGAUUCCCCCAGUAGCGGCGAGCGAACGGGGAGCAGCCCAGAGUCUGAAUCAGCUUGUGUGUUAGUGGAACGGUCUGGAAAGUCCGACGGUACAGGGUGAUAGUCCCGUACACCAAAAUGCACAGGCUGUGAACUCGAAGAGUAGGGCGGGACACGUGGUAUCCUGUCUGAAUAUGGGGGGACCAUCCUCCAAGGCUAAAUACUCCUGACUGACCGAUAGUGAACCAGUACCGUGAGGGAAAGGCGAAAAGAACCCCGGCGAGGGGAGUGAAAAAGAACCUGAAACCGUGUACGUACAAGCAGUGGGAGCACCUUCGGGUGUGACUGCGUACCUUUUGUAUAAUGGGUCAGCGACUUAUAUUCUGUAGCAAGGUUAACCGUAUAGGGGAGCCGCAGGGAAACCGAGUCUUAACUGGGCGUUAAGUUGCAGGGUAUAGACCCGAAACCCGGUGAUCUAGCCAUGGGCAGGUUGAAGGUUGGGUAACACUAACUGGAGGACCGAACCGACUAAUGUUGAAAAAUUAGCGGAUGACUUGUGGCUGGGGGUGAAAGGCCAAUCAAACCGGGAGAUAGCUGGUUCUCCCCGAAAGCUAUUUAGGUAGCGCCUCGUGAACUCAUCUUCGGGGGUAGAGCACUGUUUCGGCUAGGGGGUCAUCCCGACUUACCAACCCGAUGCAAACUACGAAUACCGAAGAAUGUUAUCACGGGAGACACACGGCGGGUGCUAACGUCCGUCGUGAAGAGGGAAACAACCCAGACCGCCAGCUAAGGUCCCAAAGUCACAGUUAAGUGGGAAACGAUGUGGGAAGGCACAGACAGCCAGGAUGUUGGCUUAGAAGCAGCCAUCAUUUAAAGAAAGCGUAAUAGCUCACUGGUCGAGUCGGCCUGCGCGGAAGAUGUAACGGGGCUAAACUGUGCACCGAAGCUGCGGCAGCGACACUUAGGUGUUGUUGGGUAGGGGAGCGUUCUGUAAGCCUGCGAAGGUGGCCUGUGAGGGUUGCUGGAGGUAUCAGAAGUGCGAAUGCUGACAUAAGUAACGAUAAUGCGGGUGAAAAGCCCGCACGCCGGAAGACCAAGGGUUCCUGUCCAACGUUAAUCGGGGCAGGGUGAGUCGACCCCUAAGGCGAGGCCGAAAGGCGUAGUCGAUGGGAAACAGGUUAAUAUUCCUGUACUUGGUGUUACUGCGAAGGGGGGACGGAGAAGGCUAUGUUAGCCGGGCGACGGUUGUCCCGGUUUAAGCAUGUAGGCGGAGGUUCCAGGUAAAUCCGGUACCUUUUUAACGCUGAGGUGUGAUGACGAGGCACUACGGUGCUGAAGUAACAAAUGCCCUGCUUCCAGGAAAAGCCUCUAAGCAUCAGGUAACAUUAAAUCGUACCCCAAACCGACACAGGUGGUCAGGUAGAGAAUACCAAGGCGCUUGAGAGAACUCGGGUGAAGGAACUAGGCAAAAUGGUGCCGUAACUUCGGGAGAAGGCACGCUGAUAUGUAGGUGAAGCCCCUGCGGGUGGAGCUGAAAUCAGUCGAAGAUACCAGCUGGCUGCAACUGUUUAUUAAAAACACAGCACUGUGCAAACACGAAAGUGGACGUAUACGGUGUGACGCCUGCCCGGUGCCGGAAGGUUAAUUGAUGGGGUUAUCCGUAAGGAGAAGCUCUUGAUCGAAGCCCCGGUAAACGGCGGCCGUAACUAUAACGGUCCUAAGGUAGCGAAAUUCCUUGUCGGGUAAGUUCCGACCUGCACGAAUGGCGUAAUGAUGGCCAGGCUGUCUCCACCCGAGACUCAGUGAAAUUGAACUCGCUGUGAAGAUGCAGUGUACCCGCGGCAAGACGGAAAGACCCCGUGAACCUUUACUAUAGCUUGACACUGAACAUUGAGCCUUGAUGUGUAGGAUAGGUGGGAGGCUUUGAAGCGUGGACGCCAGUCUGCGUGGAGCCAACCUUGAAAUACCACCCUUUAAUGUUUGAUGUUCUAACGUUGGCCCCUUAUCGGGGUUGCGGACAGUGUCUGGUGGGUAGUUUGACUGGGGCGGUCUCCUCCCAAAGAGUAACGGAGGAGCACGAAGGUUAGCUAAUCCUGGUCGGACAUCAGGAGGUUAGUGCAAUGGCAUAAGCUAGCUUGACUGCGAGCGUGACGGCGCGAGCAGGUGCGAAAGCAGGUCAUAGUGAUCCGGUGGUUCUGAAUGGAAGGGCCAUCGCUCAACGGAUAAAAGGUACUCCGGGGAUAACAGGCUGAUACCGCCCAAGAGUUCAUAUCGACGGCGGUGUUUGGCACCUCGAUGUCGGCUCAUCACAUCCUGGGGCUGAAGUAGGUCCCAAGGGUAUGGCUGUUCGCCAUUUAAAGUGGUACGCGAGCUGGGUUUAGAACGUCGUGAGACAGUUCGGUCCCUAUCUGCCGUGGGCGCUGGAGAAUUGAGGGGGGCUGCUCCUAGUACGAGAGGACCGGAGUGGACGCAUCACUGGUGUUCGGGUUGUCAUGCCAAUGGCAUUGCCCGGUAGCUAAAUGCGGAAGAGAUAAGUGCUGAAAGCAUCUAAGCACGAAACUUGCCCCGAGAUGAGUUCUCCCUGAGACUUUAAGUCUCCUGAAGGAACGUUAAAGACGAUGACGUUGAUAGGUCGGGUGUGUAAGCGUAGCGAUACGUUGAGCUAACCGAUACUAAUGAACCGUGAGGCUUAACCUUACAACGCCGAAGGUGUUU